rnacentral:sRNA from 1 species
AUUCUGUGUCCGUCUUCCUCUCCUCAUUGACUCUGCAUGAAGGGGAUUUCUGGUGGAGUAAGGGUAGCAGCUCUUGCCACACGUGCAGAGAGAGAGGAACUUCCAGUGCCCGCUAUGGAGCCACAGCCCACAGCAUGGGGAAGUCCCCAUCCAGAGGCAGUGCUGCAGCUAGAGGUAGCUCCAGAGUCCUCCAGGCCCUGCACAGAUACAGCCAAAGACCAGCAAAGCGACAAGCUGCCAGACCUCAUGCCACCUGCUGUAGCCACUGGGCUCAGCCCUGGAGCUGAGAGCAUCGCUGGAGAUAGACGUGGCAGAGAAGAGGUUACGAGCAUGGCCCCAGCCAGCAGCUCCCACGCUGCCCCUAGUCCUGGGCAUGGAGCGAGCCUUGGUGUCAGAGACCAGGGUGUGCAGUCUGAGCUCCUCUACCUUACUAAAGAGAGGCCUCUUUUAUUUACCAGAGCCACAGCCCUGCUGCCUCAGGACCUUUUCAUUCUGCCGGUGCUGGGGCUGUCUAUCUGCAAGCUGGAGGUGUUGAGAGCAGGAAAAGGAGGCUGUGAGGAAGGGUUCGGGCAGCUCCUCCUGCUCUCAGAG